rnacentral:rRNA from 1 species
AUUGAACGCUGGCGGCAGGCCUAACACAUGCAAGUCGAACGAGUGGCGGACGGGUGAGUAAUGUCUGGGAAACUGCCUGAUGGAGGGGGAUAACUACUGGAAACGGUAGCUAAUACCGCAUACCAUCAGAUGUGCCCAGAUGGGAUUAGCUUGUUGGUGGGGUAACGGCUCACCAAGGCGACGCUCCCUAGCUGGUCUGAGAGGGUGACCAGCCACACUGGAACUGAGACACGGUCCAGACUCCUACGGGAGGCAGCAGUGGGGAAUAUUGCACAAUGGGCGAAAGCCUGAUGGAGCAAUGCCGCGUGUAUGAAGAAGGCCUUCGGGUUGUAAAGUACUUUCAGUGGGGAGGCGGUACCCGCAGAAGAAGCACCGGCUAACUCCGUGCCAGCAGCCGCGGUAAUUC